rnacentral:rRNA from 1 species
ACGGAAGGCAGCAGUGGGGGAUAUUGCACAAUGGGGGAAACCCUGAUGCAGCAACGCCGCGUGAAGGAAGAAGGUCUUCGGAUUGUAAACUUUUGUCUUAUGGGAAGAAGAAAGUGACGGUACCAUAGGAGGAAGCCACGGCUAACUACGUGCCAGCAGCCGCGGUAAUACGUAGGUGGCAAGCGUUGUCCGGAUUUACUGGGUGUAAAGGGCGUGUAGACGGGAUUGCAAGUCAGAUGUGAAAUUUAUGGGCUUAACCCAUAACCUGCAUUUGAAACUGUAGUUCUUGAGUAAUGGAGAGGUAAGCGGAAUUCCUAGUGUAGCGGUGAAAUGCGUAGAUAUUAGGAGGAACACCGGUGGCGAAGGCGGCUUACUGGACAUUUACUGACGUUGAGGCGCGAAAGUGUGGGGAGCAAACAGGAUUAGAUACCCUGGUA